GUGAGGAAUUUUCCGCAAUGGGCGAAAGCCUGACGGAGCAAUGCCGCGUGAAGGAUGAAGGCCUAUGGGUUGUAAACUUCUUUUCUCAGAAAAGAAUUAUGACGGUAUCUGAGGAAUAAGCAUCGGCUAACUCUGUGCCAGCAGCCGCGGUACGACAGAGGAUGCAAGCGUUAUCCGGAAUGAUUGGGCGUAAAGCGUCUGUAGGUUGUUUAAAAAGUAUUCUGUCAAAGAUUAGGGCUUAACCCUAGAUAGGCAGAAUAAACUUUUAAGCUAGAGUUUGGUAGAGGCAGAGGGAAUUCCCGGUGGAGCGGUGAAAUGCGGAGAUAUCGGGAGGAACACCAAAGGCGAAGGCACUCUGCUGGGCCAAUACUAACACUGAGAGACGAAAGCGAGGGGAGCAAAUGGGAUUAGAAACCCUGGUAGUCC
rnacentral:rRNA from 1 species